GAGACGGGAAAGGGCUGAGCAUCGGAGCUCCGAAGUGGCGCAUGAAACGACGGGACUGGGCAGAGUGGAACCGAUUUACUGGCUUGCUGGGUCGGGGAAAAGUGGAGCUGAUUUGCUGCGCCAGGAAGAGUGACUUCGAGAGCGGCGGCCGGCGACUUCGAGAGCCACAGAACAGAGCAGCGACGGGGAGUGACGAGUUUGAUUGAACUCAAAUUUGAAUUAAGAUUUGAUUUAUGGCUUUAUCACAAAUGAGGGGUGGCGGGCCGCGGUGGGUGGUAGAUGAAGCAAGGAUGCGGCGGGGGCAGGUGGCAAGUUGCGGCGGCGUUCUCGUCGUCCCCGCUGAGGCCAGAGGGAGAAUUGUUGGGGCGACUGAAAUUGGUGUUUUAGGGAUUUAGGAUUUUAGGGCUUACGAGAACGAAGAGAAGAAGAAC
rnacentral:lncRNA from 1 species